rnacentral:rRNA from 1 species
GACGAACGCUGGCGGCGUGCUUAACACAUGCAAGUCGAACGGAAAGGCCUGCUUUCCCUUGUGGAUUGCGGGUACUCGAGUGGCGAACGGGUGAGUAACACGUGAGUGAUCUGCCCCCAACUUGGGUAUAAGCCUGGGAAACUGGGUCUAAUUCCCGAUAGGACUGCAGGGUGGUGCCUGUGGUGGAAAACGAUUUUCUAGUGGUUGGGGAUGAGCUCGCGGCCUAUCAGCUUGUUGGUGGGGUAAUGGCCCACCAAGGCGGCGACGGGUAGCCGGCCUGAGAGGGUGGACGGCCACAUUGGGACUGAGAUACGGCCCAGACUCCUACGGGAGGCAGCAGUGGGGAAUAUUGGAAAAUGGGCGGAAGCCUGAUGCAGCGACGCCGCGUGGGGGAUGACGGACUUCGGGUUGUAAACUCCUUUCGACCGCGAGGAAGCCACCUGGUUGGAAGGGUGGUGACGGUAGUGGUAGAAGAAGCACCGGCUAACUACGUG